CGGGUUUGUUUUACUGAGGCAGAAGAAUGCGCUGCCAUCUGGGAUUGGAACUACCUUCUCCUUAGGAGGAGCCAGGUCUGCCAUCUUCAGCUGAACUCCACCCUCUGGAGGAAAAAUAAGACAGCAGAAUUCAGACGGAAUCAGUAAGAUGGAGCUGAUGCUGAGAGAUGAAAAGCUAGUCUGUGGCCAGCCUGCUGGUCAUUAGAAUGGACGGAGACACCUGGACACCAUGAUGUGGACCAGGAUCCCAGUGUUGUCAGCAGCUCCACGAGGAGUGUCCAGCUGAUGGGAAAUUAACACUGAUGAAUAUCUGACAGAUCAAAAAACAGACCUUCAUCUCCCUCAGGAAGCUCUUCAUCCUCUUCAUACUCAGUGUCUUCAUCAAUGUCCACCUGCAGAAACAAGCAGAGUGCUCAGACUGAAACCUGAUGAUGGAGCUAACAGAGAAAACACCAUGGUACCUUCACUUCUCCUUCAGGCUCCUCCUCGGCAUGUUCCUUAUUCUUACUAGAGAGACAAAAACAAACAAACAAAAAAAAAACAAUUUCAUUUGAUUUAAAAACAUUUUUUUACUUUAUUUUCACCUAUUCAUGCCUUCAUCUCUCACUCUUUCUUCUUGUCUUCUCCAUCUCCUCCAGCCAGAUUGUCCACAGCGAUGGCCAAGAAGACAUUUAGCAGGAUGUCUGACUCUUAGUUAAGUUCUCCUUACUGGUCUGUGAUGUUUGAACUCUGAUGUGGUCUGAUGUUCAGUCAGCAUUGGACUGAACCAAGGUGAUAAAACCUCAAGCCAAAGAUACAGAAGAUAUUACAGAGAACCCUGAAGAACCGUCAGCUUUGUUGAACUCAUGGUCGGUCAGUAGACCCAGCAUGAGUCUGAAGCAGGAAGGAGUUCAGAUGUGGCACAAAGUGAAACAAAACCUCCACCUAAAUAUUAUUCCCAUUCUCCAGUGGGAGUCCAUAACAACAUCCAUGAGAUAUCAUGGAUAACCAGUGCUUGUCCUGGAAGUUUACUAUGAAGCACGUUUCAAGUGUUUUCUGUUCCAGCGCUCCGGAUUCAAUGGCUGAAUCACUGAUUCAGCAGGUAUUGAAGCUCUGUAGAAGCCUGGUAAUCACCUGGAUGGAUGGAUGGAUGGAUGGAUGAAUAGAUGAUGGAUGGAUGGAUGGAUGAAUAGAUGAUGGAUGGAUGAUGGAUGGAU